GUUCGGUCCCUAUCUGCCGUGGGCGAUUGGAGAAUUGAGAGGGGCUGCUCCUAGUACGAGAGGACCGGAGUGGACAUGCCUCUAGUGUGCCGGUUGUUCUGCCAAGGGCAAUGCCGGGUAGCCACGCAUGGAAAGGAUAACCGCUGAAAGCAUCUAAGCGGGAAACCUGCCUCAAGAUGAGUUCUCCCAACGAGACCCGUGGUAGACCACCACGUUGAUAGGCCGGAUGUGGAAGUGCAGUAAUGCACGUAGCUUACCGGUACUAAUUGGUCCAUUGGCUUUAUUUA
rnacentral:rRNA from 1 species